rnacentral:lncRNA from 1 species
AUUUAAUUGGGAGAAAUGAGGUUAAUUAGGGUUUAGGUUUGGUGCUCAGAGAUUUAAAUUGGCGAGGGAUUGAAUAUGAGAGAGAGGAAUUGUGUCCAGAAAUAUUGCUUCCCAUCUCAAAUUCUCAGGUUUUUUCUUCAACAUGUCUUGAGAACAAAUUCUGUACACUAUAGCACUUUCGUAUAAACAAUCAACAAUUUUUGCCUUAUGAAUUGAUGUAUAUUUCUUAAACUCUAUAUAUAGUAGAAAACAGUUGCUACUGAAAUAACAUUAUUAUGAUCUAUUACUUUUCCAACAUUAUAAUGUUUUUUCAUACCAUAGAUGCAUUUUCUCAAAAUAUGAAGUCUGCAUUUGAUAUAGCAAGUCCAUCAUCACACUACAAGUACAAGAUACAAACAUGGUAGUUUUUAUUGAUGACAGACAUUACAGCAAACAAACAUACAUAAUAACAUGACCAUACAUAGGAGGAUGAGGGAAUUGGAUUCCUUCUCAUCAAUUAUUCAUAGCAACAAACAACACAACAAACCAUGACAUUUUCUAGAUGGAAACACUGUUGGGAAUGCCUCUGAAAGUCAAUCCUUCUUCACUAGAAGGAUAAAGCAGAGUGUAUGGCAUCUUCACAGGCCCGUAUCGGUUUCUCAAUGACUCGUCAGCGUUCCUUUUAACUAGCUUUUCCUCAAUUUCAGCCAACUUCCUUGCAAACUUCUUGUAGGCCUCUUUUGGCUGUGCAUCAGAAGUCCAAAGAUCACCUUCGAUUCUCUCCCCAAGGUAUUGCUCAUCAGAAGCAUGCCUUGACAAGACUUCAAUAAUGGUAAGGUCUGUAAGGGUAUCACUCUUGGGUGUGAUUGUCUUCAAAUAUGCCUUCUGGUAGUCCUUAGAAAGCUCAGCAUACUCGGCUGAUCCUUUCUCAGGCAUGAAUCUCCUGCUCUUAGUUGGUCGGUUAAGGAUGUAUCCUCCAUAUGGGUAUUGUCCAAAAUUAACAGCUGCAUGAAGUGCUGAAGCAAUCCAUAUAAGGAUGGUGGAAGCUUCGAUCAACUCCGCACGAGUUUGCAUCUUAAACCACCAUGUGGCACUCUUUAAGUCACCAUGACCCACCUCUACAAGUUCCUUCCAGAAUGCUUGGAGUUCAGCAUCUUGUGCAAUGGCAGCAUCUGAUUUGUAGUAGAAACUCACAUAUUCUCCAACCCAUGUCUUGAUAGCAGCCCAUAUCUCUAGUCCAUCCGAAGCAUAAGGAUAAUCCUCAAUCAAAAGGCGAAUGCCGUGUGGUGAAGCUGGAUCCUCAACAGCCACUCCUCUGCAUAACAAGCAAGGUAUAUCACAUUAGCAUAAAUAAAAAUUACUUUUGUGAAUCAAUUGCUUUUUCCUUUAUGAGUAAACAUAGAAUCUAAUGCUUUGUAAUAUCACCUUUUGAGUAGAUCAUUAGGUAGCCCUUGCUCAGUGAAAACCCAAUCCCUAUAUGCAACAGCAGACAUUUCCAAAGCAUAUCCUCCCCACAAGAAUGUUGAUUCUAUAAUACCCUCAGCAUUGACAAGGACAUUCCGUGCAAGUGAAUUUAUGUUCAUUGUGUCACGGUAGUGAGGAAGUAAAAGUUUGUGGACAGGGUGAACCGUACUAAGGUGUCUGUUUGUUGCUAUGAUGAACGGCUCAACAACAGCGUGAGUGUUCAACCUGUCAUACAUGUAGACAUUAAUAAACAACUCACAGAUAGAUAAAUUAUAUCUGUUUCUAUAAAUCUCAUUUACGAAAUUCAUACCAAUGGCUAACAAGUUGGUGAUGGCAAGAGUCAUUUACAACUACAUAAGCUUUAGCAAGUAGCCAAAUAGAAGCUUCAACACCUUCACUUGCAGGGAAGUAAACUUCACUAACAGGUCCAUAACUAUCAUCGUCAGGAUGUGGCUUACUUAGCUCAAUCGCCAGUGGCUUUAAAGUUCCAUCAUUUUGCAAGAAAAGGAUGGUUCUAGCAGCAUAGGCCUUUGUCUCAGUUGCAUUUAUUUUCCUCAAAUAUGGAUAUACUAUGUCAUAGUGAUCAAGGAUGUACAAUUUGUUGUUUUGGAUAGCCUAAUCAACAAAAUAUAAUUUAGUCACCGUACAUCAUUUGAAUAAAAAUGAACCAUUUCUCUAGAAAAACAUUAAUAUCUUGUGUCAUUACCUGUUCUACAGUGAUCCCGCCCAAGUUUGGCUCCAAUUGUUCUUUGGUUAUGGUGCUGGUGUUAUCUCCAUAUUUUUGGCUAUCUA